rnacentral:rRNA from 1 species
UACGUAGGGUGCAAGCGUUGUCCGGAAUUAUUGGGCGUAAAGAGCUCGUAGGCGGCUUGUCACGUCGGAUGUGAAAUCCCGAGGCUCAACCUCGGGCCUGCAUUCGAUACGGGCUAGCUAGAGUACUGCAGGGGAGACUGGAAUUCCUGGUGUAGCGGUGAAAUGCGCAGAUAUCAGGAGGAACACCGGUGGCGAAGGCGGGUCUCUGGGACGGUACUGACGCUGAGACGCGAAAGCGUGGGGAGCGAACAGG